UCAUCCUACGGGGCGCAGCAGUGAGGGAUAUUGCACAAUGGGGGAAACCCUGACCCAGCAACGCCGCGUGAAGGAAGAAGGCUUUCGGGUUGUAAACUUCUUUUGACAGGGAAGAGCAGAAGACGGUACCUGUCGAAUAAGCCACGGCUAACUACGUGCCAGCAGCCGCGGUAAUACGUAGGUGGCAAGCGUUGUCCGGAUUUACUGGGUGUAAAGGGCGUGUAGCCGGGCUUACAAGUCAGAUGUGAAAUCCGGGGGCUCAACCCCCGAACUGCAUUUGAAACUGUAGGUCUUGAGUAUCGGAG
rnacentral:rRNA from 1 species